GUGCUCGUUUCGGCAGCACAUAUACUAAAAUUGGAAUGAUACAGAGAAGAUUAGCAUGGCCCCUGCACAAGGUUGACACGUAAAUUCGUGAAGCAUUCCAUAUUUUU
rnacentral:snRNA from 1 species